AGUGAACGCUGGCGGUAGGCCUAACACAUGCAAGUCGAACGGCAGCACAGUAAGAGCUUGCUCUUACGGGUGGCGAGUGGCGGACGGGUGAGGAAUACAUCGGGAUCUACUUUUUCGUGGGGGAUAACGUAGGGAAACUUACGCUAAUACCGCAUACGACCUACGGGUGAAAGCAGGGGAUCUUCGGACCUUGCGCGAUUGGAUGAGCCGAUGUCGGAUUAGCUAGUUGGCGGGGUAAAGGCCCACCAAGGCGACGAUCCGUAGCUGGUCUGAGAGGAUGAUCAGCCACACUGGAACUGAGACACGGUCCAGACUCCUACGGGAGGCAGCAGUGGGGAAUAUUGGACAAUGGGCGCAAGCCUGAUCCAGCCAUACCGCGUGGGUGAAGAAGGCCUUCGGGUUGUAAAGCCCUUUUGUUGGGAAAGAAAAGCAGCAGGUUAAUACCCCGCUGUUCUGACGGUACCCAAAGAAUAAGCACCGGCUAACUUCGUG
rnacentral:rRNA from 1 species